rnacentral:sRNA from 1 species
AGAGAGGCCAGAUCGUGUGGACUUGGCCUUUUCCUCUGGGUCUGAUGGGAGCCUCUGGAGGAUUUUGAGAGAGGAAGGACAAGUCCGUCUUUAGUUUUUUUUUUUUUUUUUUUUUCUUGAGAUGGAGUUUCCCUCUCGUUGCCCAGGCUGGAGUACAAUGGCUCGAUCUCGGCUCACUGCAACCUCCACCUCCUGGGUUCAGGCAAUUCUCCUGCCUCAGCCUCCUGAGUAGCUGGGAUUACAGACAGGCACACGCCACCAUACUCGGCUAAUUUUUGUAUUUUUAGUAGAGACAGGGUUUCACUGUGUUGGUCAGGCUGGUCUCAAACUCCUGACCUCAGGUAAUCCACCUGCCCCGGCCUCCCAAAGUGCUGGGAUUACAGGCAUGAGCCACUACGCCUGGCCCUGUCUUAAGUUUUAACAGGAUCCCUCCAGCUGCCUGAGAAUACACAGAAAUAGGAUGAAGGUAGAAGCAGUAAGACAUAAGAGGUUAUGGUGCUCUUCCGGAUGAGAAGUGCUUAGAUUCUGGAUACAUUUUGAAGAGCUGUACUUCCUCAUCGCCCGGUACCUAUCGGCGGGCCCGUGUCGGAGAGCGGCCCAGGUGCUGGUGCAGGAGCUGGAGCAGUACCAGUUGUUGCCGAAGAGAUUGGACUGGGAGGGCAACGAGCACAACAGGAGCUACGAGGAGUUGGUCUUGUCCAAUAAGCAUGUGGCUCCUGAUCAUCUGUUGCAAAUCUGCCAGCGCAUCGGUCCUAUGUUGGAUAAAGAAAUUCCACCCAGUAUUUCAAGAGUCACUUCUUUACUUGGUGCAGGAAGGCAGUCUUUGCUACGUACAGCAAAAGGUACCUUAAUUUGAAGAAGUGUUCUGCUUUGUAUUAAUAGCCUAAUAAUUAUUAUAAUUGUGAAGUAAUGUAAGCAUUGUGGAAGAAAGGUGAUAAUGUAACUAUAAAUCAUGCUGUGGACUAUAAAAUUCUCUGCAUUUAGCAUAGAAGAUUGAAUUUUAUUACAUAAGUGUUUAAUGGGUCCUUCUGCAUUAAAAAGUUGAUAAAGAUACAGAUGUUAAGCUAAAAAGCUUGAAUUUAUUCUGAGAUGUUGUUUGAGGUUUUAUCAAUGUGAGUUCUUAAUUUUCCAUUUUGUAGCUCACUCAUAACUUCAUUGAAUGUAAUUGUAUGUGUCUAAUAAAC